GACGAACGCUGGCGGCGUGCCUAAUACAUGCAAGUAGAACGCUGAAGGAGGAGCUUGCUUCUCUGGAUGAGUUGCGAACGGGUGAGUAACGCGUAGGUAACCUGCCUGGUAGCGGGGGAUAACUAUUGGAAACGAUAGCUAAUACCGCAUAAGAGUAGAUGUCGCAUGACAUUUGCUUAAAAGGUGCAAUUGCAUCACUACCAGAUGGACCUGCGUUGUAUUAGCUAGUUGGUGAGGUAACGGCUCACCAAGGCAACGAUACAUAGCCGACCUGAGAGGGGGAUCGGCCACACUGGGACUGAGACACGGCCCAGAAUCCUACGGGAGGCAGCAGUAGGGGAUCUUCGGCAAUGGACGGAAGGCUGACCGAGCAACGCCGCGGGAGUGAAGGAGGUUGUCGGAUCGUAAAGCUCUGUUGUAAGAGAAGAACGAGUGUGAGAGUGGAAAGUUCACACUGUGACGGUACCUUACCAGAAAGGGACGGCUAACUACGUG
rnacentral:rRNA from 1 species